GUGUCAGCAGCCGCGGUAAUACAGAGGGUGCAAGCGUUAAUCGGAAUUACUGGGCGUAAAGCGUGCGUAGACGGUUCCGUAAGUCGGGUGUGAAAGCCCCGGGCUCAACCUGGGAAUUGCAUUCGAGACUGCGAAGCUAGGGUGCGGAAGAGGGAAGCGGAAUUUCUGGUGUAGCGGUGAAAUGCGUAGAUAUCAGAAGGAACAUCAGUGGCGAAAGCGGCUUCCUGGUCCAGCGCCGACGUUCAAGCACGAAAGCGUGGGGAGCAAACAGGAUUAGAUACCCUGGUAGUCC
rnacentral:rRNA from 1 species